CCUACGGGUGGCAGCAGUGGGGAAUAUUGGGCAAUGGGCGCAAGCCUGACCCAGCAACGCCGCGUGAAGGAAGAAGGCUUUCGGGUUGUAAACUUCUUUUGAAAGGGAAGAGUAGUAGAAGGUACCUGUCGAAUAAGACACGGCUAACUAAGUGCAAGCAGCGGCGGUAAUACGUAGGUGGCAAGCGUUGUCCGGAUUUACUUGGUGUAAAGGGCGUGUAGCAGGGUUGACACGUCAGAUAUGAAAUCCUUCGGCUUAACCUCAGGACUGCAUUUGAAACUGUUGAUCUUGAGUACUGUUGAGGCAGACGGAAUUCCGAGUGUAGCGGUGAAAUGCGUAGAUAUUAGGAGGAACACCAGUGGCGAAGGCAGUCUGCUGGACAGCAACUGACGGUGAGGCGCGAAAGCGUGGGGAGCAAACAGGAUUAGAUACCCGAGUAGUC
rnacentral:rRNA from 1 species